rnacentral:rRNA from 1 species
UACGGAGGGUGCAAACGUUGCUCGGAAUCAUUGGGCGUAAAGCGCACGUAGGUGGCUUGUUAAGUCGGGUGUGAAAUCCCUGGGCUCAACCCAGGAAGUGCACUCGAAACUGGCGAGCUUGAGUACUGAAGAGGGUCGCGGAAUUCCCGGUGUAGAGGUGAAAUUCGUAGAUAUUGGGAGGAACACCAGUGGCGAAGGCGGCUCACUGGACCGGAACUGACGCUGAGGCGCGAAAGCGUGGGGAGCAAACGGG